UUUUACAUUGAUUGAUUAAUUUUUUGAUCUUAAAGAUAUUUAGAUCAGCAAUGGCAAGAUUUUCCUGAGGAAAGAGAGGAUAUUAAUAUAGUGCAAACCCAAAAUGGCGCAUGUGUUUUUCCGCAGAAAAUAAAAAAGUUGUUUUGCCAGAGACACCUGCAUUAAUUUCCCUUAUAAGAAAAGCUACUAAAAAAGAUUCCUCAUCAAAUGGAAAGUCUCUCAUUACUGAGGAAGGUUGUUGACCAAUGGUUUAUAAUCAAAAUUUAAUAUGGCUGGCGGUAAGAAUAAAGAGAAGUUUGAAGGAACAAACAUUUGUAAGGUUGUUAUUGAGAGCGUCAUGUCAAUUAAAGCGAAUACUACAGUUGCCAAAAUAAGAAAAAGAAUAAUGACUUUAUUAAAUUACGCACUCGACAGAUCGAAUGGUCGGCGCGUAAAAGGCAAUUCACUAGAUCUAUAACAUUUUUUCCUAAUUGUUCUGGAACUAUUGUUAAAUAAAACUUUUUUUUUUUAACAUUUUACUCUAUUUGCAUUGUGUAUAAAGUCCCUUGAAGCAAUUUAGUUGUAUCUAAUUAAUUUACUUAAAAUAUAAUAUUCUUUGCACAAA